ensembl:lncRNA novel transcript
UUUUUCUCUAAGUUGCCUAUCGGAAUUGAAUCUGCCUUGCCUGAGCCUCUCCUUUCAGACUUUCUUCCCUCUCCCCAGCCAUCAGUGACCUUUCAGUCUUCAUCCCAGGUCCUCUUUCUUCCUCUGCCUCAGAGCCUAGUUAAUUGCUUCUAUUCAGUGAAAUUAGAGUUCAAGAGUCUGGGACUGGGAUUCCUUCUCAGAGAAUGCAGGAGUAGAAGGCAAACACAUCUGACUUCUUGCUUACGUCAUAGAACAUUACAGGAUGCUGUGGACUGAAUUGUGUCCCCCACGAAUUCGUAUGUUGAAACCCUAACUCCUAGUGUGAUUGAAUUUAGAGUAAGAAAGUAAUUAAGGUUAAAUGAUGUCAUAUGGCAUGUGAAAACACAGCCAGAAGCUGGCCAUCUGCAUACUACCAGGAACUGACUUGCCAGCCUCCAGGACUGUGAGAAAAUAAACUGUUGCUUAAGCCAUCA